ensembl:rRNA 5S_rRNA 5S ribosomal RNA
CACUAGAGCCAUACCACCCUGAACACACCUGACCUCCUCUGAUCUGGGAAGCUAAGCAGGCCUGGGCCUGGUUAAUGCUUGGAUGGGGGAGAAAGACAGAGGUUUUAGCCU